rnacentral:rRNA from 1 species
UAGUAACGGCGAGUGAAGAGGGAAAAGCUCAAAUUUUGAAUCUGGUGUCUUUGACUCCCGAGUUGUAAUCUAGAGAAGUGUUUUCCGUGUCGGACCACGUAUAAGUUCCCUGGAACGGGGCGUCAUAGAGGGUGAGAAUCCCGUAUAUGCCGUGGACUACCGAUACUCUGUGAUACACUCUCAACGAGUCGAGUUGUUUGGGAAUGCAGCUCAAAAUGGGUGGUAAAUUCCAUCUAAAGCUAAAUAUUGGCGAGAGACCAAUAGCGAACAAGUACCGUGAGGGAAAGAUGAAAAGCACUUUGGAAAGAGAGUGAAACAGUACGUGAAAUUGUUGAAAGGGAAGCGUUUGAAGUCAGUCACAUUUGUUGGGAUUCAGCCUGGCUUCUGCCUGGUGUAUUUCCUAGCCGAUGGGUCAGCAUCAGUUUCGACCAAGGGAAAAAGACAUUUGGAAUGUGGCUGUCUUCGGGCAGUGUUAUAGCCUUGUGUUGUAUGCCUUGGUUGGGACUGAGGAAUGCAGCGCGCCUCAUGGCCGGGGGUCGCUCCUCUCGACACGCGCUUAGGA